GACAGUUUUGGGGGGAAUUGAGGGAUUGACAAUAUUCCCCUGGCUGGGAAUUGAGGGAUUUGCAAUAUCCCCCAGGCUAGGAAGGUUUUUUGGAACUAAGGAUCUGCAAUAUCCCCGAGGCUGGGAAGGUUUUGGGGACUGAGGGAUUGACAAUAUUCCCAGGUUGGGAAGGUUUUUGGGGACUGAGUUAUUUGCAAUAUCCCCUGGGCUGGGCAAGUUUUGAAGGAAUGGAGGGAUUGAUAAUUUUCCCCAGGCUGGGAAGGCUUUUUUGAACGAAGGAUUUGCAAUAUCCCCCAGGCUGGGAAGGUUUUUGGGGGAAUUGAGGGAUUGACAAUAUUCCCCUGGCUGGGAAUUGAGGGAUUUGCAAUAUCUCCCAGGCUGGGAAGGUUUUUGGGAACCGAGGGAUUUGCAAUCUCCCCAUCCCUGGGUGGGGGUGAGUGGCUGUGUCUCCCCCCAGCCUCCCCCACCCACCCCAGCAUUAUGCUGGGGGUCAGAGCGGGAUUUUUCACUUCAGAUGGGUUUUCAGAGUGAGAUUUUCCUGCUGCUGCCUGCGACUGGCCCAGCUCCUCCCUCUGCAGAGCUGCAGGAACAUCCCCAGGCUCUCCAUGGGCUCCUGGCAUCCCCAAGGCCACCUUGGGCCACCACUCCCAUCCUCCCCACGGCCCUUUCCAAGCAUUUGCAGGCAAAUCAGAGAUGCUGGAGAAGUGGGGACCAUCUGCUGCUCCCUCUGCUGUCCCCCACAGCCUCCCUUUGCUCCCCAUAGCUCAGUUAAGCACGUAGGUGUUAGCAAACUCUGGGCUGUCUGCAAAACCUUUUGUAAAAUAGAAUAGACCUUUAAAUAAUGCACUAAAAUUAAAAAAAAAAAAAAAAUUAAAAAAUCCUAAAUGCCUCCCCACCCCAGUCAGCUUCUCUGUGUGAUGGUUCCUUGGAUGUCCCUGCUCAGCACAGGCAGCUCUGCAUCCUCCCCCCAGGGUGCUGCACAGGUAGAAACAAACCAGGACGUGCACUUCCCCACCCCCCGAGGAGUUUUAUUUAUUGUUUUGAGAAGCAAUUUAAAAGGGAAAAAAAAAACAAAAAAAAAAAAAAAAACAAA